GUGCCAGCAGCAGCGGUAAUACGGAGGGUGCAAGCGUUAAUCGGAAUUACUGGGCGUAAAGCGCACGCAGGCGGUCUGUCAAGUCGGAUGUGAAAUCCCCGGGCUCAACCUGGGAACUGCAUUCGAAACUGGCAGGCUAGAGUCUCGUAGAGGGAGGUAGAAUUCCAGGUGUAGCGGUGAAAUGCGUAGAGAUCGUGGAGGAAGUACCGGUGGCGAAGGCCGGCCUACCGUGGACGAAGACU
rnacentral:rRNA from 1 species